UACGAAGGGGGCGAGCGUUGUUCGGAUUUACUGGGCGUAAAGGGCGCGCAGGCGGCUCAUCAAGUCAGGCGUGAAAGCCCCGGGCUUAACCUGGGAACUGCGUCUGGGACUGAUGGGCUUGAGAUCGGGAGAGGAGAGUGGAAUUCCCAGUGUAGAGGUGAAAUUCGUAGAUAGUUGGGAAGAACACCGGUGGCGAAGGCGGCUCUCUGGACCGAUACUGACGCUGAGGCGCGAAAGCGUGGGGAGCAAACAGG
rnacentral:rRNA from 1 species